rnacentral:lncRNA from 1 species
GGAGAGGGUAGAGGAUAGGGGAUUUUCAGAGAGGAAACUUGGAAAGUUUGAAAUGUAAAUGAAGAAAACAUCUAAUUUUUAAAAAAAGAUUGUUAACAAGUUAUAAAAAAGUUGUAUGUUUAUUUACUGUCUGUUAUAUAUAUGCAAAUAUCAUUGUCAUUAUACAAGUAAACUUAAUUACUUUGAAACCUUUGUUCAAAUUUAUAGCUUUAUCUUCACAUAUUUGUAUAAUUACCGAUGCUGUAAACACUUUAAAAGAAUAUGAGUAAAUAUCAGUGUUCUGUUGGAAAAAUAAAAAAACUUUAAUCAACUUAUUGUAAACUUAAUAAAAAUAAAAGUUUUGCCUAUUUCA